GAGUUUGAUCGUGGCUCAGAACGAACGCUGGCGGCAGGCCUAACGCAUGCAAGUCGAGCGCGUAGCAAUACGAGCGGCAGACGGGUGAGUAACACGUGGGAACGUACCCUUUGGUUCGGAAGUAACUCAGGGAAACUUGAGCUAAUACCGGAUAAGCCCUUUUGGGGAAAGAUUUAUCGCCGAAGGAUCGGCCCGCGUCCGAUUAGCUAGUUGGUGUGGUAACGGCGCACCAAGGCGACGAUCGGUAGCUGGUCUGAGAGGAUGAUCAGCCACACUGGGACUGAGACACGGCCCAGACUCCUACGGAGGCAGCAGUGGGGAAUAUUGGACAAUGGGCGCAAGCCUGAUCCAGCCAUGCCGCGGUGAGUGAUGAAGGCCCUAGGGUUGUAAAGCUCUUUCGCCUUGGGACGAUAAUGACGGUUACCAGGAGAAGAAGCCCGGCUAACUUCGUGCCAGCAGCAGCCGCAGU
rnacentral:rRNA from 1 species